rnacentral:rRNA from 1 species
UACGUAGGGUGCAAGCGUUAAUCGGAAUUACUGGGCGUAAAGCGUGCGCAGGCGGUGAUGUAAGACAGGUGUGAAAUCCCCGGGCUUAACCUGGGAACUGCAUUUGUGACUGCAUCGCUGGAGUGCGGCAGAGGGGGAUGGAAUUCCGCGUGUAGCAGUGAAAUGCGUAGAGAUGUGGAGGAACACCGAUGGCGAAGGCAGCCCCCUGGGUCAAAACUGACGCUCAUGCACGAAAGCGUGGGGAGCAAACAGG